UGGGGAAUCUUGGACAAUGGGCGAAAGCCUGAUCCAGCCAUGCCGCGUGAAGGAUGAAGUAUUUCGGUAUGUAAACUUCGAAAGAAUAGGAAGAAUAAAUGACGGUACUAUUUAUAAGGUCCGGCUAACUACGUGCCAGCAGCCGCGGUAAUACGUAGGGACCAAGCGUUGUUCGGAUUUACUGGGCGUAAAGGGCGCGUAGGCGGCAAUUCAAGUCAUCUGUGAAAUCUCCGGACUUAACUCGGAACGGUCAGAUGAUACUGCUUUGCUAGAGUGCAGAAGGGGCAAUCGGAAUUCUUGGUGUAGCGGUGAAAUGCGUAGAUAUCAAGAGGAACACCUGAGGUGAAGACGGGUUGCUGGGCUGACACUGACGCUGAGGCGCGAAAGCCAGGGGAGCAAACGGGAUUAGAUACCCUUGUAGUCCCUGAGCGGGCUGGCAAGGCGCAU
rnacentral:rRNA from 1 species